CAGAGUGGGAUCAGAUCAGCCUGUCAAAUCUCUGUCUUACAGACACACAGAAGCACAAGCUGACUUAAGUCUAAAGAGCUGCAAGACUAGACUAAAUGCUUAAUUACUGUAGUCGGAUUAGGGUUCAGUGGAUAUAUUCAGACUGACCCUGUCUCUGUGGUGAAGUAUUCAGCCCAUUUAUCUCUCUUGCAGGUAACAUAUUAACCCCCUCUCUCUGGCAGGUAACAUAUUAACCCCCUCUCUCUUGCAGGUAACAUAUUAACCCCCUCUCUCUGGCAGGUAACAUAUUAACCCCCUCUCUCUGGCAGGUAACAUUUUAGGCCCAGGUCUGACAGAAUCUGUGCAGAAGAUCUUGGUGCUGCUUUAGGCCCUCCUUGGUUGGGGACAGAAGCACCAGAUCAUCAGUAGACAUUUGACUUCAGAUUCUAGUAGGGUGAGGCUGGGUGCUGCCGACUGUUCUAGUGCCCUCGCCAAUACCUUGAUAUGUAUGUUGAAGAGGGUGGGGCUUAAGCUGCAUCCCUGUCUCACCCCCGGCCCCGUGGGAAGUAAUUCGUUUUUUUUUGCCAAUUUUAACCACACACUUGUUGUUUGUUUCAGUUGUGUAGCAGGUCCUGAAAGCUUUUUUUGAAAUCAACAAAGCAUGAGAAGGCUUUGCUUUUGUUUUGUCUUGUUUGUUUGUCAAUUAGGGUGUGCAGGGUGAAUACGUGGUCUGUCGUAUGGUAAUUUGGUAAAAAGCCAAUUUGACAUUUGCUCAGUACAUUGUUUUCGCCGAGGAAAUGUAUGAGUCUGCUGUUAAUGGUAAUGCAGAAGAUUUUCCCAAGGUUGCUGUUGACGUAAUUCCCCCCGGUAGUUAUUGGGGUCAAAUUGAACUCCACUUUUGUGGAUUGGGCUGAUCAGUCCUUUGUUCCAAAUACUGGGGAAGAUGCCAGAGCUGAGGAUGAUGUUAAAGAGUUCAAGUGUAGCCAUUUGGAAUUUAUGGUCUAUAUUUUAUCAUUUAAUUUAGGAUAUCAUCAACCCCACAAGCCUUUUUGGGUUGGAGGGUUUGUAUUUUGUUCUGCAGUUCAUCCAAUGUAAUUGGAGAAUCCAGUAGGUUCUGGUAGUCUUUAAUAAUUGAUUAAAAUGUUUGUAUUUGAUGUAAACUCAACAAAAUAAGAAACGUCCUCAGUGUCAACUGUGUUUAUUUUCAGCAAACUUAACAUGUGUAAAUAUUUGUAUGACCAUAACAAGAUUCAACAACUGAGACACAAAGUGAAGAAGUUCCACAGACAUGUGACUAACAGAAAUGGAAUUAUGUGUCCCUGAACAAAGGCGGGGGUCAAAAUCCAAAG
ensembl:lncRNA